AACGUAGGAGACAAACGUUAUCCGGAUUUACUGGGCGUAAAGGGCGUGUAGGCGGUUUGUUAAGUCUGGCGUGAAAGCUCUCGGCUAAACCGGGAGAGGUCGUUGGAUACUGGCAAACUAGAGGAUGGUAGAGGCGUGUGGAAUUCCGGGUGUAGUGGUGAAAUGCGUAGAGAUCCGGAGGAACACCAGUGGCGAAGGCGACACGCUGGGCCAUACCUGACGCUAAAGCGCGACAGCAUGGGGAGCAAACGGG
rnacentral:rRNA from 1 species